UAAUGAUAAAUACAUAAGGAUUUCAUUGAUCAACCCUAAGUAAUACAAAUAAAUCAGGAAGGAUAGGACUUCUCUUGAGAAGAUCAAACUAAGAGAGUUCACCGACUUUAUAAAAAAUCCUAUCUAAAGCAAAUAGAUUUUGUGAAAGCAUAACAAAAUGGAUAGAUAUUUGAGUGACUAAAUAAUUCUUUGAAUUUUUCGUACUUGGCCUGCAAAUUUACAAACUAACUGUGAAUGGCAAACACAAAAGGCGUGAAUAACAAAGUUUCAUUGACGGAACAAGUCGCAUAUUAAGCUCCAGUUGAAGGAAAUCAAUCUUUACAACCCAAAUUUGGUAAAACAAACUUAAUACACAGCGAUUUGACAAAACAGAAUCAACUCUCCAGACAUAAAUCUCUAGAAAAGACGGAAAACCUCCAGAUUUGAGAACACAAAAAAUAAGAAAAAGACAAAAAAAAGUGCUAAGACAAAGAAAACGAUAAAAAGAAAAAUUAGCAAAAUUGAGGAGGAAGAGGAUGCUGCCCGCCAAAAUUGCCAGUAACAACCGAUCUAAGAAAAGCUCGAACUUGUCACGAUGAACAAGAGGAAAAACUCCCAAAGAGGAUUUUAACUACUAGUGGUUGUUGUAUUAG
rnacentral:misc_RNA from 1 species